rnacentral:RNase_P_RNA from 1 species
GUGAGCAGUCUACUGAGCAUAAUUUAUUAUGUUAGGAAAGUCCAUGCUACCACAAGCUGAAACGCUUGUAGUGUUCGUACUAGGUCCAAUAAACCUAGGCACCUUCGGGUGACGACUAGUGCCACAGAGACGAGCUGCUUAGGCAGGUGAAACGGGUAAACUCUGCGAGGUAGAAACCCAAAAUUGGUAGGGGAGUCCUGCGAAAGGGAAACAAACUAUAGCGGGAAACGAAAGUUAGAUAAAUAGUAGACGUAAUACAGAACAUGGCUUAUGUU